UGAGGGGCGAGGAUGCUGAGGACUGAAGUCGGUCACUGAGAGGCUGCCAGAGGGCCAUUUUCAUGACCAGAGGGAUCUGUUCAACACCCUGUGGGUCCCAGCACCUAUCUCAGGAAGCAGGGUGCAUCUGUCCACCACCAAGUCUCAGGGUGGCUGGGUGAGCGCUCAUCAGUCCCAGACAGCAGGUUGGCACAAAACGACACUGCCCACAAAACCACAGGAAGAAGAGAAACUCCGACUGUCUUUCAGCACACAGAAGACACUGUACUGGACCCGGACAUUAGGCAGACACCCACGCCUGACUUU
rnacentral:lncRNA from 1 species